AUUGAACGCUGGCGGCAUGCCUUACACAUGCAAGUCGAACGGCAGCACGGAAGCAAUCCUGGUGGCGAGUGGCGAACGGGUGAGUAAAGUAUCGGAACGUGCCCAGUCGUGGGGGAUAACGUAGCGAAAGUUACGCUAAUACCGCAUACGAUCUAUGGAUGAAAGCGGGGGAUCGCAAGACCUCGCGCGAUUGGAGCGGCCGAUAUCAGAUUAGGUAGUUGGUGGGGUAAAGGCUCACCAAGCCGACGAUCUGUAGCUGGUCUGAGAGGACGAGAAGCCACACUGGGAAUGAGACACGGCCCAGACUCCUACGGGAGGCAGCAGUGGGGAAUUUUGGACAAUGGGCGAAAGCCUGAUCCAGCCAUGCCGCGUGCAGGAUGAAGGCCUUCGGGUUGUAAACUGCUUUUGUACGGAACGAAAAGGUUUGGCCUAAUAAGCUGAGCUCAUGACGGUACCGUAAGAAUAAGCACCGGCUAACUACGUGCCAGCCGCCGCGGUAA
rnacentral:rRNA from 1 species